rnacentral:rRNA from 1 species
AUAUGCUUGCCCCGAAGAUUAAGCCAUGCAUGCUGGAAUAGGAGGGUAGCUGGAGUUGCUUUUACGAGUGAUUCUGGCGCCGACCAUCUCUCUGAAUCUGCGAACGGCUCCAUAGACCUGUUAUCACCUGCCGUGGGGUACGCGCUGGAUAGCCAUGGAAAAUCUAUGGAUAAGACAUGCUCUGGCCGAGUCUAUGGGAUCAACUCAGUCGCUGUGGGCGCUUAAUCAACGCGCAUACGGCUGAGAUCGCCCAUAGACUUACGCUGGCGCACACAGUAGGAUUCACACUGGCUGCAUAGCAUUAUACACGCUCUUUUUAGGGUCCGUGAUGCACAGUGCCCUUGUGUGAGCUAUUGGGUGCGUUAGUUAAUAGGCCGGUCCCCCAAAGUACCUGUUUCUGUUUACAGAAGUAGGGAAACGGAGGCCUCCCACUCUUCUUGGCCACCACGCCUUGUGUGUGGUGCCCUGUGAAAAGAGGGGAGCAUAACCAAAGAUUUGCCAGUCUGCACAUCGCUGCGCACGGUGGGUUCCAGACCUAUCAACUGGACGGUUGGGUAUUUGGCCAACCGUGGUAAUUACGGGUACAGAGGAUUAGGGUUUGAUCCUGGAGAGGUAGCCUGAGAGAUCGCUCCCACUUCUAAGGAAGGCAGCAGGCGCGCAACGUUCCCAAUGCGUAAGUCAACGUGAGGACGUGAGGGGGCAUAGCAAUGCCGGCUUUUCAAGUUGGCAAUUGCAAUGAAGGGGGUCUAGACCACCCCCUGAGAAGCAAUCGGAGGACAAGUCUGGUGCCAGCACCCGCGGUAAUUCCAGCUCCGAUAGCAUAUUGUUGAGUUGCUGCAGUUAAAACGCUCGUAGCCGAUUUUCACGCACACAUACCUGUAACACGCCGUGGGCCCACCUCCUGAGUCUUUCGGCUUUUGAGCGACGUCCAUAUGUGUAUGCAGGUGCUGUGCAAACUGGGGUGGCCUUGCAGUGCAGUGGGUUCCCGCCAAAACGCGUUUUCGGACGAUUUUUGGUGGUGAGCCCCCUGCUCCCCAGGAUUGCUUGGGUGCCCCCCCGUGGGGUCCUGAGCAAGCCCUUGGACUGCGCGGCCGCUCCCGGUUACUUUGACUAAAUUCAAGCGCUUAAAGCUAGCCUGCGAGGGCACUUGAAGACUGCAGCAAAGCAUAACGUAGUAUGUCCCUGUCUUUAAUGCAAGGGCACCCUAUUGUUUGGUAAGCUGUAUUGGGGAAAUGAUCAAUUGGGGCGAUCGGGGUCAGCCACACAGCCGGGGUAGGGGUGAAAUCCGAUGAUCCUGGCUAGGUGAACAAGCGCGAAAGCAGCUGGCUAGUACGCACUCUUUGGUCAAGAACGAAAGCCUGGGGAGCGAAUGCGAUCAGAUACCGCAGUAGUCCAGGCUGUAAAUGCUGCCGACCAUGGAUGGGCUUCAGUCCACCCGACCCGGUCCGCACCUUGUGGGAAACCUAAGUGUACGGGCUCUGGGGGGAGUAUGGUCGCAAGGCUGAAACUUAAAGGAAUUGACGGAAGAGCACACAAGGAGUGGAGCCUGCGGCUCAAUUUGACUCAACACGGGGAAUCUCACUGGUGCAAGAGGAGGUAGCGACGGACUCCCUGGCGAGGAUUCCUGAGCCUCCAGCGGUGGUGCAUGGUCGUUCGUAGUUCGUGCAGUGAUAUGUCUGGUCAAUUCCGUUAACGAGCGAGAACCCAACUUUUCAGUUGCAGGGCCGGCCGAAAUGUAACAGUGCAGGGCCUGCCACCCCCCUGAUUCAGGGGGGUGGCGGGCUCAGGCGAAACUCCCGUCCUCCGGGGUGGGGGGGUUGCUUGCGCCCCCAGCCUUGCUUGGGGGUCAGGCCUCAGUUCUGAGGCCUGGCCCCUGAGCAAGUCUGGGGGCCGGCGCGACCUGGGGCAAAAAUUUUGAGCCUGCCGCCCCCCUGAUUCAGGGGGGUGGCGGGCUCAAAAUUCCCAGGUAUCUUUAGGCCGUGCCCUUGUACUGGAAGCACCCGCCCUGUUUAAGGGGUGGGGCGUGGGUCAAUAACAGGUCAGUGAUGCCCCUAGAUGCACUCGGCUGCACGCGCGCUACAAUGGAGGGGCGAUCCAGUUUCAGCCAGCGAAAGCAGGGCUAUAACCUGGGAAACCCCUCCCCACCUGGGACUGAAGGGUGGAAACACCCUCCACGAACUAGGAAUUUCUAGUAGUCGUACG